rnacentral:lncRNA from 1 species
AGCGUGUUCUGUUUAACAAGAGGUCUCUACCUUGACUGCUGGUGAACUUGGAGGAUGGUAGGAACAGAGUGCCUGGGGAGGGGAGUGGAGCAAAAGGGUAGCUGGAGCCUGGAACUAGAACAAUGCACAAUGUGUCUUUGGAUUCCUCCCACAAAGAAACCAGGUAUUUGUCCAACAUUUGGUCUUUAUUCUUCAUAAAAUGAUAGCAGGAAUGAUGCUUUGAAGGAUUUAAACAAGUACAUAAUAUUGCAAUUUUACAACUGAAGUGUUUUGCAGACUAAUCAGCGCGAAUCAAACAGGUAUCUGUGUAUGAAUGGAUGAGACAAGAAGACCUGACAACAAACAUUUCCUGCUAUGGUCUUAUCUGGGAGUGUUACCCCAUCUGAUGUAUUUCAGAAGCCACUCGAAGAAGACAUAGUUGUCUUCCAUGUCUAAAUUCCUCUCACAACUCUUGGGGCAUAAAUUAGCUGUCUUCUGUGAGCUCCUUUGGGACUGAAAGGCAUGCUCCCUGGGAACUUUUGUAAAUUAGAUAGAAAUUUGUCCUAUGGAUGUGUGAAGUCACUUCUCAGCUAAUCAUUGAAGGGAGCUGCCAAAGCCUUUCUUUCAAAAACAAAUGGCAAAGUUGCUCUGUUUUUCAUAACACAAACCCUUUUGCAACAAAUAGAGUCCUCUUCUGGUCAUUAUCUUGUCAUUAGAAC